rnacentral:tRNA from 1 species
CUAAGAUUUUAAGUUAAUUAAACUAUUAAUCUUCAAAAUUAAAAAUAAAAUAUCAUUAAAUCUUA